UACGUAGGGGGCAAGCGUUGUCCGGAAUCAUUGGGCGUAAAGCGCGCGUAGGCGGCCCGGUAAGUCCGCUGUAAAAGUCAAAGGCUCAACCUUUGAAUGCCGGUGGAUACUGUCGUGCUAGAGUGCGGAAGGGGCUACUGGAAUUCUCGGUGUAGCGGUGAAAUGCGCAGAUAUCAGGAGGAACACCGGUGGCGAAGGCGGAUCUCUGGGCCUUACCUGACGCUCAGGCGCGAAAGCUAGGGGAGCGAACAGG
rnacentral:rRNA from 1 species